rnacentral:rRNA from 1 species
UACGAAAGGGGCUAGCGUUGUUCGGAAUUACUGGGCGUAAAGCGCACGUAGGCGGCCAUGUAAGAUGGGGGUGAAAUCCCGGGGCUCAACUCCGGAACUGCCUUCAUGACUGCAUGGCUCGAGGAUGCGAGAGGUUGGCGGAAUUCCGAGUGUAGAGGUGAAAUUCGUAGAUAUUCGGAAGAACACCAGUGGCGAAGGCGGCCAACUGGCGCAUUUCUGACGCUGAGGUGCGAAAGCGUGGGGAGCAAACAGG